GACGAACGCUGGCGGCGUGCUUAACACAUGCAAGUCGAACGGAAAGGCCCUGCUUUUGUGGGGUGCUCGAGUGGCGAACGGGUGAGUAACACGUGAGUAACCUGCCCUUGACUUUGGGAUAACUUCAGGAAACUGGGGCUAAUACCGGAUAGGAGCUCCUGCUGCAUGGUGGGGGUUGGAAAGUUUCGGCGGUUGGGGAUGGACUCGCGGCUUAUCAGCUUGUUGGUGGGGUAGUGGCUUACCAAGGCUUUGAUGGAUAGCCGGCCUGAGAGGGUGACCGGCCACAUUGGGACUGAGAUACGGCCCAGACUCCUACGGGAGGCAGCAGUGGGGAAUAUUGCACAAUGGGCGGAAGCCUGAUGCAGCAACGCCGCGUGCGGGAUGACGGCCUUCGGGUUGUAAACCGCUUUCGCCUGUGACGAAGCGUGAGUGACGGUAAUGGGUAAAGAAGCACCGGCUAACUACGUG
rnacentral:rRNA from 1 species